rnacentral:rRNA from 1 species
GACGAACGCUGGCGGCGUGCCUAAUACAUGCAAGUCGAACGAGAGCGACCGGUGCUUGCACUGGUCAAUCUAGUGGCGAACGGGUGAGUAACACGUGGGUAACCUGCCCAUCAGAGGGGGAUAACAUUCGGAAACGGAUGCUAAAACCGCAUAGGUCUUCGAACCGCAUGGUUUGAGGAGGAAAAGAGGCGCAAGCUUCUGCUGAUGGAUGGACCCGCGGUGCAUUAGCUAGUUGGUGAGGUAACGGCUCACCAAGGCCGUGAUGCAUAGCCGACCUGAGAGGGUGAUCGGCCACAUUGGGACUGAGACACGGCCCAAACUCCUACGGGAGGCAGCAGUAGGGAAUCUUCCGCAAAGGACGCAAGUCUGACGGAGCAACGCCGCGUGAGUGAAGAAGGUUUUCGGAUCGUAAAACUCUGUUGUUAGAGAAGAACAAGUGCUAGAGUAACUGUUAGCGCCUUGACGGUAUCUAACCAGAAAGCCACGGCUAACUACGUG